UGUCUUUGCUAGGCCAUUUUGGGCUGGGGGGCCCUGCAGAGAAGUACAGCUACCUUUCUGGUUGCGUGAAAGGAUCUGCCGAGUUGGAGUUGCCCUAGGCUGUGGCCAAAUUCACCAGAAAUUAACCUAGAAUCUUAGCCCUUCAGUGGUCCAUUGAUAAAUGUGGGUUUGAAAAUGCCGAGGCGAUGAUGACUCUGUGAAAGGUUUCGGCAGCUGGUGUGUGUAAGAAAUGCGUAAAACGGGAGCCUCGGGGACAGGGCACAUUCUGGCAAUACACAGUUGGAGGGCUCUCUGUCAGACUUUGGGCCGCUGUACUUGGCACUCGACACAUUCUCUCAUCCCUUCAGAUUUGCAGAACACGGUGAUUGCAGUAUUAUUGUGAGAGUCUACUGUUACGUUGGUCGGAAGCUCUUGCUUUUCUCACUUGCAGAACAUAGGGCUGAGGAUUUGGCUGUUUCCAAGUGCUUGUUACACUUUAAACCCAGGAUUUGGGUAAAUGGAAAUGGUGGUGUGAAGGUGACCUGGAUUCAUACCCUUUCCUCGAAAUUAUUUUUUUCUGCAAAAUUUUAGCCUAGGGGGAGGACUUUUUUAGGUAGCCCUACUGUCGUGGAUCUCAAGAGGGCUGUCAGUGAGGAUCUAUUGUAAAUCACUAAAACUAACAGUUUAGCACUUAAAUAUGUAGCAGAAAGGGCACAGGAUUCAAAAUUGAAGAGACAGGUCUUUUCCAGUGAUCCUAGUUGUGAUCUCCUAGUGGUCCUUUUCCUUCUCUGGGCCUAUUUCUCUAUUUACAAUAAUAAUUGUAUUCAAACGUCUGUAGCACUUAAAACUAUGUGCCAGGUACUGGUCUACCUGCUUUUACACGUGCCUCAACUCAUUUAGUACUUUCGACAAUCUUACUAAAUAGCAGUACCGUUAUUCAGAUUUUACAAAUGAGAAAUGUGGGGGACACAGAUUAAGUAAUUUGCCCAAGGCUUUACAUCCAUUUGAAUGGCUGAAACUGGAUUUUUGUCCAGGUUGUAUGGGUCCAUAAUGCUGUGUUCUUAACUGUUAUGCUUUAAUUCCCUAAAAUGAGGGGGCAAAUUUAAGGGACCCUUCUUUUAUGAUUUCAAAAAUUUUUUGUAACUUACCUGUGCUGUUUAAGAAGGGAGACCUGUUUGCUCUUGGCCACUUUUUACUCGGUGCAUCCUACAGGGUUACAUAUGUAGAAGACAAAAAGUAAAAAUUGUUGAUUUGCAGCCUACCGGGGCGGCCAUCCUUAUCUAUCCUUGUCUUCUAUGCUUUUUGUUCUGCAGAGGGUUUAAAAUGGCCGACUGCGGCAGGCUGGACACACCCAUCUUGUUUUGCCUGAUUUGAGAUCUGGUCAAAUGCUUUGAGAAAGCAGUCUUUUGCUGCGGUAGAGAUUUUUUCUUACCCAUUAUUAAUAUUAUGGUGUGUUAAUACAAAUGUCCAAUAGUAAAGUCAGGUUAUUGCCUUUUUUCCCCCUUAUAAUAGAAGACUGAAAAUACAUGCAUUUCUUUUAUUAUUGGUUAGGAUAGAUUCACUGAAGUGGAAUUACUAUAUCAAUGCGUUUUUAACAUUCAAUAUGUACUGAUAAAGUUCAUUCCGAAAAGGUCGUACCAAAUUUUACUCAUAAAAGUAUUAAGUGGUGUUUGUUUUUUAAAAAGAUGUUAUGGAUAAAAACAAGUAUUAUUUUAAUUUUGCAUUUCUUUGGUUAUUAGUGAGUUUGGACUCCUUCCUCCAUAUAUUUCUUAGCAGUUUAAUUUUCUUUCAUGUGAUGUUAGUUCAUGUCUUACACUGAUGCAUCUGUUGGAGUUUUUAGUUUAGUGUUGUUAUUAUCUGUUUGAAAGUGUUUUUCAAGUAAAGGCUAUUACUCAGAUUUCUGCAUUGUUAUAUACUCCAGGUUAUUGUUUACCUUUUAAUUUUUGUUUUCAAAUACUUGGUUUGUAGAGAUUUGAAAGCAAGUAGUAACUUUGUCCAUCUUCUAUUUUGUGAUUUUUUUUUCCAUUAAGUUUGAAUAGUUCCCUCAAUCUAGAAAUUUGGUAAAUAUUCAUUAUAGCUUUGUCUGAGGAUAACCAUCAGGUAUAGGGAAGAAGGAUCUGUAAUUUUACCACCCAGAGAUAACCAGUGUUUAUAAAUGUGUUCACAUCUUUUCAUUCCCUGCAUUUUUCUACAGUUGAUCAUGUAUUUGUACUGUUUUAUGUUCUGUUUUGUGUUUAACAUUAUAACAUGCAUUUUUCCAUGCUAAAAAUUAUUUGCAGUUGUCAUGUAAUGGUUUCAUGAUAUAUUGUUGUAUGGAAAUAUUUUAGGAUUUUCAGUAAAGUAUUACAAUGAAUGUCUUUUCAUUUUCAUUUAGUUUUUAUUGUUUAUCUAUUUUGAGUUAUUUCUUUAUAGAGUUCCAGAAUUAGAAUGGUUCAUCAAAAAGUUUGAACAUUAUAGAGAUUUGCUACAGUAACAUUCCAAAAAAAUAUGUCAUUUUUUUGUGCCCAGCUAUUUAGGUAUUUAGAAUAUUUUUUUGCUAAUUUUAUAUGUAAAAGAACGGUAUCUUUGUUUUAUGAUCCAUUUCUCUGAUUAUUGGUGAGGCUGAAUUCUCAAAUGUUAAUUAUUAACUCUUCCCUUUGUGAACUAUUCAAUUUGGGUAUGAAUGUUAAGUAUUUGUAAGAGCUGUAUAUUAUGUGUUCUGUAUAAGGAUCUAUUAUCCUUGUCAUUUAUUGCAAAGGAUACAUGUGAUUUGCUGCACAUAUACUUCUAGCAUAUGUUGCCUUUGAGUCUUAAAAAAUGUUUGUGAUUCCAAAGACAACUGCUUUGUGGAAUACCUGUCAGAUUCUUGGUAGCCAUUUUGAGAUAACAUUUCUUUGUCCUUUAAAUAGAUAGCUAUUUCUUUUUAUCUAAAGGAGAGCAGUCUUGAAUGCUGCAUAGCAUUAUUGCACCCUGGCUAUGGAUGUGGGAAGACAAGGCAACAUUUUGUCCCUAAUAAGAAACCAACUUAUACAACACACAAAACAGUAGUACCCUCGCCCCCAUCCAUUCUGGGACUGAUCUUAUUUUGAAUAUUCACGAGUGAUGUGGGAGAUGGUAUGGACAUAGUGUGAUGUCCACAUAUAGAGAGAACACUAAGCACUUUGAGGGUGUAAAAUGCUGGUAGGAACAAACUGUAACACCUGAGAAGGCAUUGUGAGUGUGGGCUGACCGUGAUAGAAUAGAACAGUGUAGGCAAGAGCAAUAUAAUGACUUCAGGAGAAACUAAUGUGUUAAGCGUAUAAAAUAGUGGCCUCAGAGACAUUGAAUCCCAAGACAGGGAUCCCAGUGUAAAUGGCAACAGUUUAUUGAUGUCAUCAGCUCAAUUUGCUGGUGCAGACACAAAAGAGCCGUUAAAAACAUAGGCCCUAUUAAGAACAGUAUGGGAUGCAGAAAAAUUCCAUCCUGUCUUUGUAUAAAACCAUCUGAGCCAAGUGACUAGUAAUCUCUUCACAAGAAGUCUGUUACUGUAACUCAGUUUUGAAAAGUGGUUGGGAAGAGUGUAUUACCUCAUUUCAUUUUUCUUAUUUAUUAUGAGGUAGGUAAUUUAGAGAAUCUUUAAUUAUAUUUAUUAAGUAAAUCUUUCUAAAUUAUUAUUCCCAAUACAUGAGCUAUAUACUAUCUCAUAUAUGUAUUUAAAAACAUUCUAAUUUUUAUAUUUUCAGUUAAUGGGGGGGAUUAUAGGAUUUAGAAGUGCCAAGUCAUUUGUUAUGUAUUGCUUUUUGCUAUCCAGUUACACUGGGUUAAUCUAGUUAGUCAUAAAUUCCCAUUUUUCAGCAUUUUGUUAGUUGCAGAUGUUAAACCACGCUUAGGUAUGGGGGUGGGGAGGUUGACAAAUGUAUAAUAAGCAAAACAAAACAAGAACAGAGCCUGCAUUGUAGAGGAGGUGGUGGAGAAGGUCCUUUCUAGAGGUCUGUGCCUACCUUAAGCAUAAGAAUCUUAUCAUGCCAGUAUCUAGUUCCUGAACCCAUGUCUGAUCAGGAGUUAGGGAGAGCCUGGAUAUUUGAAAUAGCCUAAAAGCAUUUAACCUUUGAUUUCCACAAUUUGUUCCUCCCCUCUGUUGUUACAGCCAGCAGCAGCCUGGAGCAGCGCCCCUGGAAAGAAAUUUUACAUCGGCCAUUAUAAUACAACCUGAUAAGUGUUACAGCACUUACCAGGUUGUAUUGUAAUUGUCUGUGUAUAUGCCUGUCUCCUUUCCUAUGUUAUCAGUUAGACUGUGAGCUCCUUGAGGGCAGGGACAGAGUCUUCUCCAGAGCCCAGCCUGGCACAUUAGUAGGCUUCAGUAAAUGUUUAUUGGAUGAAUAAAUGAAUGACUCAUCAACAAACAUUUAUCGUGUGCCUGCUAAGGUGAUCUUCACAGGCUCUGGACUGUCAACUGUUUAUUCAAAAUGCAUGUGGUCAGAAACUUGGUGUUUCUUUCUAAUUAUGUAUCUAUCGUAAGAGUUUUUCUGAGAUAAUGCUAUUUUUUUGUGUGUUUGGAUUUCAGUCCUUGGUAUUUACAGAUGUUGCUACUGUUGUUGCUGCUGACAGCCUCUUCCUUGGUGGGACCUGGGUGAUAGCUGCCAGAUCAUGAGCCUCAUCUUCACUGCCCAGUGUUUGCUCAAUGGUUCCUGUUUGUAGAAUCAUCCCCUUUUCACCCCUCCUCAGAUCAUCCUUCAAAUGGUGUUCCUAGGUAGGGCUCCACAUUCUAGAUAUAGGUAGACAAAUACAGCCCAUGGACUGCCUGGUUUUGCAAAUAAAGUUCUAUUGGAUCACGUGUUAUUUGUUGAUAUUUGGUCUGUGGCCCUUUUGGCCUGCAAAGGCAGUGUUGAGUAGCUCCAUCAGAGAUCCAGUGGCCCAUAAAGCCUACCCUUUACAGAAAAUGAUUGCCUACCUUGCUUUGGAUCAUUACUUAACAGUGAUGGUUUAAUUUCCCUCUCCAUUCACCAAAGAUACUUCUGGCAUCUCAGAAACUCAUUUAUUUACCUCAUUCGUUACUGCUUAUAACAAGUCUUUUUCCUAUUUUACAGAUGGGCCAGCUAGAACGCAUCAAACUAGAUGCUUAUAAGGCCUCCACCAGAGUCCUACAGUCAGUCAGUUAUACCAUGUACUUCAAAAUCAAGUUUUGAGCUUCAUCUCUAGAAAUUCCUUUUGUUAUAUCCUAACCUGAAGAAUGUGGCCAUAUCAUACCUUGGUGCCUUAUGCCUUGACCCCCUCCUUCCUACACAGCUCUUUGCAAUGAGAAUAUGGAAAAUAACAAAUUAAUGUGAGAUAAGGCAGACAGGUGACACCAAAUGUGAUCAGAAGCCAUGCCCAUGGUGAAGAGGUAUACUGAACCCGGCCUGGCCCAGUGAGGUUACUAGAGAAUUGGGAAAGGCUUAAAUAAGUAUCCUGCACAUGGUUAUCAAAUCAUUGUAAAGUCUUGAAAAUCAUCUGGAAUGCUUGUUAAAAAUGCAGAUUUCUGGGCAGCCAGAAACCUUGCACUAGUCAAGAGCAACACUAAGACCCACCUGUCAUUUAUAUUGAGGCUUCCUGCCCGGUGGGUUCAUCAGCAAGCCAGAAUGAAUCACCAUUGCUGUGUGUGGAUCCUUGUGAGGCAGCUGGGAAGUCUUGGCUAAAUUGUGAAGGAUGUCUUUUAAAAAGUGUUCUAGAGAGUCUGCUGGUUUUCCCACAUGAGUGAACGUGUAGCAGAAGAGAGGAUCCUCUCAGUGAUUAAGGCGACCUUAGAAACAACUUGUUGAGUUCUCACCAUGAAUACCAUUGGAAUUGCAGUUGGAAUGGCAUUAAACAUGUAGAUUAAUUUUUGGAGAGCGAUCAUCUUUAUAAUCUUCUCCUACAUGAAUGUGUUUCUCCUCUGCUGCCUUUUGAGCUGCCAGGCACUGUGCUGGGUGAUGGGGAUAUGGAGACGAAUUAGACACAGUUCCUGCCCUCAGGAGUUCUCAGUCUAGUGAGAGAGUUCGACAUGUACACAGAUAAUUACAACAUAUGGUAUGCUCUACAAUGGAGGUAUGUACAAGAUACUAUGGGGUUCAGAAGAGAAAUCAUUUGAGUGGGGAAAUGCCUGAGGUUGGAGGAACUGAUGCUUAAGUGGAUUCUUAAAGGAAGUAAAGGUUGGCCAGGCAGAAAACAGAGAAGGACCUUUUAAGCAAAGGCAUGGACACUGGAAAUAUAAUGAUGAAAUGGGGGAACUGCAAGUAGUUCCUGAAAUUAUGUUAGAAAUGUAAGCUGAGAAUAGAUCCUAAUAAGUAUUCCAUGAACUUUGGAUUUCGUUUGGAGCGUUUAAGUAGGGGAUGCUUUUGAAGGUCACUUUGGCAGUACUAUAGAGUAUGUUCUGGAAGAUUUUCAAACCUGGACAGGGAGAUUAGUUAGAAAUACACCAUAGUAGAGAAGAUGAUAAAUGAUCGAAGGCCAAAAGGAUUGGGAGUGGAGAAGAGGGGAUAGACUCUUAAAUAAGAGGCUAUAAAAACAUGGACAGUUCUAGAACAUGGAAAAAUUAAGGUGGUAAAGAGGGAAAAAUUAGGGCUCUCAGACUUUGGCAAAUGUGUGUCCACCUACUUCCAUUCCUGGCCUUGUUGAGAUCCUCUCAUGUUUAUUUUUAUUAUGUUUAUGAAUGUUUAUUUAUUUAUUUUGAGAAUGAGAAAGUGGGAGUUGGGGGGAGACAGAGAGAGAGGGAGAAAAUUCCCAGCAGGCUCUAUGCUGUCAGUGCAGAGCCCAACGUGGGGCUCCAUCUCACAAGCCAUGAGAUCAUGACCUGAGCCCAAAUCAAGAGUCAGAGGUUUUUCUGACUGAGUCACCCAGGGACCCCAUCCUCUCAUGUUUUUUAGAUGGGCAUUGCUAUUGAUUUCUUUUGGACCAGAGCUUGACUGUACAGAUUUGAUAAGUUUUGUUCUGGGAUGGCAGCUGUAUAUGAAAUGUUGAUUCUCAGAAAGACAUCUGAACAGCUGUAGACCUCUAAUAGUAUUACUUGGUUCCUUGCCCUUCUCAUCAGUAGUAGGUUUCCCUCACCAUCACAUUGUCUCCCAAAGUCAGAGAGGAAGCUUUUCUCUCUAAAACCCACUCAGGGGAGAAAUGGCCCUAGUUGUGACUGUCUCAAUUGUUUUAUUGUUUGUUGAAUGAAAAAAAUGAAUCAUCAACAGACAUUAAUUGGACACCUGCUCUAUAAUCUCCAUGGACUCAGCUUAGGGAUUUUACAACGUUUGUGGUUACAUCUCCAAGUAAAAUAUAUCCAGUAAUCAAAAAUCUAAAUAUAUUCAGUAUUCAUUUCCUGUUUUCUCAAAGCAAUAUAAAAAUGUUCUGUGGACAGUUCUCCACAUAAGGCUCAGAGUAGUGACCUUAGGGAUUCAGAGAAUGGAUUUCUGUGACUAGAAUGAUUCAUAGGAGAUUAUAUUUAAGUAGACCUUAUGUAUUUUCAGUGGACCUUAUGUAAGUAGCCAUCCUAGAGGGCAGUAGGGGGAAGAAGGAUUGGGAGAGGAAGCUCUGAGUAGGAUGGCAAAGCAGUACGUAAGAGUCUGGGCCUUGGGACUAAAUAUCCUAGGCUCAAAUCUGCUCUUAAACUCACCAGUGUGGUAUUGAGCAUGGUUUUUCACCUCUCUGGGACUUGCCUUUCUCUUAUGUAAAAUAGGGGUAAUGGUCUUUUCUGCAUGUAAAAUGGGGGUAAUGGCCUUUUCUGUGAUGAUUUGGAUGGGGAUGGGGGUAGGUGUAAGGAUUUAAUGGGAUUAUUGUACAUUUCUUAGAACAAGUCUGGAAUGUGCCAAAUGCUAUUAUCAACUGUCGUUGCCACUAAUAAUGAUGUUGACCAUGUCUGGGAUUAAAAGAAGAUAGUUAACCAGAGGUGCUUAUGUUUUACAUUGUCAAUGAGGCUCUUCGGGUGUGAGAAAGAAAGGGAAACUAACUGGCCUGAAGGUUUUCAAUGGUAUGUUAGUAUGAAGUCAACUCUCUACCUUCUUUUUCUUCUCUGCCAAAUAGGUUGGGAAACCAGAUGAAUUUUGUCCAUGCCCUGAUCACUAAUCUAUUGCCUUUGCUCUUAUUUCCAAAUAGAAACCUGUUGAAAAGUUGUGUUACACCUGAAUAAAGGUUAUCCUAAAAAUGUAGAAAAAUGCUUUGGAGUUGGUCAAAACUGGACUUGAAACCUGACUCAACUGCUUACUAGCUGUGUGAUCUAAGACAUGUUACUUAACCUCACUGAACCUCAGUUUUUUCAUCGAAUAUGAUAAUUAAUUUGCAGGGUUUCUCUGAGGAUAUUUGUGAAGUGUAUGUCAUAAGCACUAAGUCAUAGCUGUCAUUGUUAGUUCUUGGGAUACUCAUCACGUGACAGAAACAACAGCGGGCCCUGGUGGCUAGGAGGACUGCAUGGAUCCAACCUCAACCUGGAGUUGUGCUCUUCUGAAGAAAUCCUACUCGGAUGGAUAUAAUACAACCUGCUAAGUGUCCUCGCACUUAUCAGGUUGUAUUAUCAUUGUCCGUGUCUAUGGCUCUCGUCUACCAGACUCUAAAUUCCUUACAGGCAAGGACAGUGCCUUGUUCAUCUUUGUAUUCGGUGCCUAAUCCCGUGCACAUUGUAGGCCUCAUUAAAUGUUUGUUGAAUGAAAAAAUGAAUCAUCAACAGACAUUAAUUGGGCGCCUGCUCUGUGAUCUCCAUGGGCUCAGCUUUUCCCCGCCAGUUGCCUACAACGUCCAAGCUGUCUUCAAUAUGCUUUCUCCUGGAGCUUACUCCUAUCUUCUCACUCUUUUGCUGAGGACUUUUCUGUGUAGUACAAAGAUAGCAGAUAUACUUCAUCUCAAGUACCAUCUCCAAUCGGUCAAUAGUACCUGCCUCGAUUAUGUUUCACAAAAAGGAUGCUGAAGCCAGGUUUCACUCAGUUCAGUGUGAAAGAGAGUUAUAACUAAUUAGCUAUGUUUACUGAAGGUGGGAGAAGGGGGAAUAGCAGCCUAAGUGACACAUAUAUAUCAUAUUUAAUAUGUUUUCCGUGAAAUAUUCUGUUUCCAUGCCUGUAUUUUAGUCUUGGCUACUUGCAGAUGUUGCAUGCCUGCUGCUGCUGCUGCUGCUACUACUACGACAGUUGCUGCUGAUUGCUCCUUGGGUAGGACCAAAGUGAUCAUUGAUCAGAAACUUCAUCCUCACAGUCUGGGGGUUGCUCCUGUGGCUGGUAUUCACAGUUUCCCCUUUCAACUUUACCUCAGCUAUCCCCUUACCUACAGUGACAGGUAGGCCUCCACUUUCCGUUCACCACUCAACAGGCUCCUAUUUCCUUUUCCUUCUUUAGUCUGAUUAAUAACUCUUGUUCCAUGAGAAGCCUUCUUUCUGGUAGAAGAUGUGACAAAUAGAGUACAAGUUAAAUGAUUCCGUCAGGGCGCUACAGUGAGUCGUAUAAGCUGCCCUUUAAUGUGGGAGAAAAUGGAGUAUGCUUGCAGACUUUGGGGCAGGAAGAACAGAGAAGGAAGUCAUUGUUGAUGGGGGAAAGAAAGACACUAACAGAUGGAAUAAGUUCCUGAAAAAUGAUGGCAGAAGGGAGGGUGAAACCUAUGACUCUAAAAUAGGGGGAGAGAGAGCACCUCAGAUGAAAGGAAUUACCUCCUCGCUGGAGCAUAGGGAUAGGAGUUAGGAGAAACAUGUGACAAGGGUGUUGAAGAUUUGUAAUUGUUGAUGUGGAUGAUGGAGAGGAAGCUGACAGGAUUAUGGGACAGGGAUUAUGGGACAGGAUUAUGGGGACAAAUAAUCCAGGAACAGGAUUAUGGGGACAAAUCCAGGGACAGGAUUAUGGGACAAACCAGAGUCCAAGGGAUAUUUGGGCCAAAAGGCUAGAGUGGGGCCUUUCGGUCUAUUAAAGUGAGAUAUUAUUAUAUUAAAUUAUAUACUAAAUUAAAGUAAGAAACCAGAAACUUGAGAAACUUUAAAGUGGUCUUAGGCCACCCGUCACAAGUAACUUGAUUGCCUGGGACUGACCUUUAUUGGUUGAGGGAUGGACAGCUAGCAAGAGAGGGGCUACACAGAAAUGAAUUUGAAACUCCAGACUAUAUGUGGAAGGAAGUUAGAUCAGAAGUGAGCUGAAAGUCUGUGAAUGAAAAAAGGCCCUAGUGUGAUCAAGAUGGGUGUUGGGUAGUUGGAAAUUGGAAUAAUAGAACCUGUAAUCAGAGAGUGGAUUUUGAAACAUUAAGAUUGCAAAACCAGAAUGGUCAAGGUAACUUGUGAAGUGAGGUUGUCAGAUGGUCAGUUACAUAAAUACUGAAGUAACCCCGGACUAUAGCAAAAGCCAAGCUGGGAAUGAACUCUGGAGGCCAGGUGUAACAGGCCUUGAUGCCUGAGGAGUGAUUUAGAGGUUGGCACAUGGCAACUGUGCAGGUGUAAGAGAAGAAACGAUGUAGUGGGAUAGUUGUAUGAGCCACGGAGGAGCAGUAGGGAUCAUUAGAAGUUACCAAAACCAUGAUCUGCACAUUGCUCCGAGGUGUUGGCUUGCAGAAUGCCUAGCUAAAGUGAUCCCCUCCUCUAUCGGGUGCUUGCUCUAUACCCAGCACCUUGCUGUGUGCUAACCAUUUACCCCGUCUGGGUCUGUCACAUAUCAGGUAUGAGAAAAUAAGCAGCAUUCCCGAGCAAGGACAGCUAGUGGAGCUGCUGGCCCUUUGAAUUGACAGAAUGCUGUGGCCGUGUCUACAGACUGGUCAGCUUGAAGUGGCAUCAAAAGAUUUCUUUUGGACCCAAAUUUUUCCUUGACCUUGACCUAACUUUAUCCACGUGGUACAAGUUUGUGUUGGCUGUUCCAUAAUGUACUUUGACUUCUGAGUCUCUGACUUGAGGAGUAUGCUAGAACUGUCCUUUAAAAAACAACAGGCACAGCACAUUAAAAACACAGAUUAAUUAACUAGAACAAGGGGGCCCUGUUACAUAAUUGAGCUUUUAAGAUAAAGGAUAGACAAAAGAAAGCUCCCAUCAGUGUGUAACAACAGCACUUUGUGACAGCCACUCUAAGGUCAGGAUACAUCUAGUUUAGUGGCCAUAUUGUACAUAUUCCCUGUGUUGUUGGGAAGAAGGGCUGGAAAUUGAUGCAGAGAGAUGUCCCUUAGGACUUGGAAUGUAAAGUUUAGGAGAAGAGAAUCUCCAUGAAUCCUGUGACACUCCAUGUCAUCAUUUUUCCUCUGUUAUAGUCUUUGAAUGAGUCAAUAUUUCAAUGAAGGGGUAGAGCCCUUGAGACAGAGUUCCCAGGCCCUUAGACGGUGCAUCCCCUCCUUUGGGGCCGCUUUAUAUUUAUUCCUCAGGAGGAUCUGGUAGAAGACUUCGUGUGAGGAAGAAGAAAAAGAAAGAAGCAGAGAAUCACUACAGCAUGUCUUCAUAUCAGCUUCACAAAGCACGACUCAACAGAGGGCUUACUCUCUUGAGACUCCAGACCACAGGCCAUCUGUAACAGCCUUUCAUCUGGAAGGAGCCUUGUGAAUGAGUGAAUGAAACUUCAGUGAGUGUUUACAAUGACACCCAUGUUUUUCUAUGGAUAUAAGGAGAAAGAAGGAGGCUAUGAAAUGCCAUCACGGAGUAACAAAAAUUUGACAUUUUAGUGGAUAUUGAACCUAGAAGCCUACAUGAAUGAAGGAAGCAAACCUGAGAUUCUGAUGUUUGUGAGUGAAGAUAGGAGUGAACUCCUUACUGCUGUUAGUAAUGGAAGAAGAGAGGGGAGAAAAGUGAGGGAGGUCAUACAGUCCUUCACUUCAGUGGAGGGAGUGCUGAGACUUGCUUCAUAAACCAGUAACUUAUUAAGGUGGAUUGGAGAAGAAUUGUUGCACUGCACUAUUUCUUUUGCUGUUUGUGUGAAGUCACUGCCAGGCACUGUCCUCAGGUAGAGCUGCCUUUGUGGAGGUUUCUGUUGACCCCUAAUGAGAAACAACCCAGAACAAGGUUUGCGACUUAGAACUCUCUGGUUCGAUGACAGAGUUUUAAAGAGGUCCAGGACAGAGGAAAUAGCACAAGUAGUACCAGAUAGCCUAGUUUUUCUUAUUGGAUGGGUGAGGUAGAGGCAGAGGGCAGAAUGAUUGUAGGCAACUCCAAACCCCUGGUAAGGCAUUAGGAAACAAUAUAAUGAAAGGUUAGCCCUUAGACCUAUUGAUUUGUCAUUCCCCAGAGCGUGAUAGAUUAUCUAAAAGAACAAGGAGAGCUGCUUUGGAGAAAAGUUCUAAAAGAUUCUUUCAGAGAACAGAUUUAAAAGAUGGGGAGCUUCCUGUUAUGUAAUAUGGGCAUUACAGCUUUUAAAGACUUCUGUUCCAAAUAGCCAAAUUAUGGAAAGAGCCUAAAUGUCCAUCAGCUGAUGAAUGGAGAAAGAGAUUGUGGUUUAUAUACACAAUGGAAUACUACCUGGCAAUGAGAAAGAAUGAAAUAAUGGCCUUUUGUAGCAACGUGGGUGGAACUGAAGAGUGUUAUGUUAAGUGAAGUAAGUCACACAGAGAAAGACAGAUACCAUAUAUUUUCACUCUUAUGUGGAUAUGGAGAAACUUAACAGAAGACCAUGGGGGAGGGGAGGAAAAAAAAAAGGAGGGAGCCAAACCAUAAGAGACUCUUAAAAACAAAAUAACCUGAGGGUUGAUGGGGGGGGGGGGCGGUGGGAGGGAGAGGAAAGUGGGUGAUGGGCAUUGAGGAGGGCACCUGUUGUGAUGAGCACUGGGUAUUGUAUGGAAACCAAUUUGACAAUAAAUUUCAUAUAAAAAAAACAUAAAGACUUCUGUUCCCUACCUAGAUCAUGGAAGUUGACACUAGUAUCAGCCUGUGGCUGCAUAGGCCAGUAUUAACAUAGAAGUAUCGUGCUCUUGGAGAGAUCCUGCCACUCUCUUGCUUUGACAGGUGUUCAGCUGCAAUACAAGUCCAGUGCUUGAAGAAGCAAAGAGGGCAACAAGCCUCCAGGGGACAACAGUGUGGUCUUCUAAGUGAAGAUAGCAACAGAAGAGAUCACGGACUUGGCUGGAUUGGGCUGGGCUUGUUUGUUUGUUCAAAAUUUUAAAAAUACUUUUUUUCUUGACCAUAAAAAUAACAUGAUCAUUGUUGAAAAAUGAAACGAAAGGUAUAAAUUAAAAAGUAAAGAACACCUAUAAUAUUAUAACCAAGAAAACAACUCAACAUUUGAGUGUUUCCCUUUGUUCUUGUAAAAAAGAAUGUGGAACACAAUUUUUAAAGUUGUUUUUUUUUUUAAUUCCAGUUAGUUAACAUACAGCACUCUAUUAGUUUCAGGAGUGUGACUUAAAAACAAAAUUGACAUAUUGUAUAUGUUGUUCUCUAACUUUUUUCAUUUGAAAAUAAACAUAUUUCUACAUCAUUGGCAUUCUUUGAAAACAGUAUUUUUUUUUUACAGGGCUGUUGUGUUUUUUUUUUUUCAAUAUAUGACGUUUAUUGUCAAAUUGGUUUCCAUACAACACCCAGUGCUCAUCCCAAAAGGUGCCCUCCUCAAUACCCAUCACCCACCCUCCCACCCCCCAUCAACCUUCAGUUUGUUCUCAGUUUUUAAGAGUCUCUUACGCUUUGGCUCUCCUCCACUCUAACCUCUAAAACACAGUAUUAGGUGUUACAUAAUAUUUCAUAUGAAUCUAACAGAAUUUAUGUAAAAAAAUCACAUGCUACUGGACAUGUUGGAUAUUACCAAUUUUGCCUAUAAAAUGUAAUAAACAUCAUUGUAUGUUAA